GUGGACGAACCUCUGGUGUUCCGGUUGUCACGCCAGUGGCAUUGCCGGGUAGCUAUGUUCGGAAGAGAUAACCGCUGAAAGCAUCUAAGCGGGAAAGCGCGCCUCAAGAUGAGAUCUCCCGGGGCACAAGCCCCCUGAAGGAACCAUAUAGACUAUGUGGUUGAUAGGUCAGGUGUGUAAGUACAGCAAUGUAUUGAGCUAACUGAUACUAAUGAUCCGUGUGGCUUGACCAUAUAACCUCA
rnacentral:rRNA from 15 species